UUGAACGCUGGCGGCAGGCCUAAAACAUGCAAGUCGAACGCUCUAGCAAUAGGGAGUGGCGCACGGGUGAGUAACAUGUGGGAAUAUGCCUUUUGGUACGGAACAACUUUUGGAAACGAAAGCUAAUACCGUAUGGUCCCUUCGGGGUAAAGAUUUAUCGCCAUUGGAGGGGCCCGCGUUCGAUUAGGUAGUUGGUGAGGUAAUGGCUCACCAAGCCGACGAUCGAUAGCUGGUCUGAGAGGAUGAUCAGCCACACUGGGACUGAGAUACGGCCCAGACUCCUACGGGAGGCAGCAGUGGGGAAUAUUGGACAAUGGGGGCAACCCUGAUCCAGCAAUGCCGCGUGAGUGAUGAAGGCCUUAGGGUUGUAAAGCUCUUUUGGCGGGGACGAUGAUGACGGUACCCGCAGAAUAAGCCCCGGCUAACUUCGU
rnacentral:rRNA from 1 species